CGAUAACGGCGUCGAGCGGCGGACGGGUGAGUAAUGCCUAGGAAAUUGCCCUGAUGUGGGGGAUAACCAUUGGAAACGAUGGCUAAUACCGCAUGAUGCCUACGGGCCAAAGAGGGGGACCUUCGGGCCUCUCGCGUCAGGAUAUGCCUAGGUGGGAUUAGCUAGUUGGUGAGGUAAGGGCUCACCAAGGCGACGAUCCCUAGCUGGUCUGAGAGGAUGAUCAGCCACACUGGAACUGAGACACGGUCCAGACUCCUACGGGAGGCAGCAGUGGGGAAUAUUGCACAAUGGGCGCAAGCCUGAUGCAGCCAUGCCGCGUGUGUGAAGAAGGCCUUCGGGUUGUAAAGCACUUUCAGUCGUGAGGAAGGUAGUGUAGUUAAUAGCUGCAUUAUUUGACGUUAGCGACAGAAGAAGCACCGGCUAACUCCGUGCCAGCAGCCGCGGUAAUACGGAGGGUGCGAGCGUUAAUCGGAAUUACUGGGCGUAAAGCGCAUGCAGGUGGUUUGUUAAGUCAGAUGUGAAAGCCCGGGGCUCAACCUCGGAAUUGCAUUUGAAACUGGCAGACUAGAGUACUGUAGAGGGGGGUAGAAUUUCAGGUGUAGCGGUGAAAUGCGUAGAGAUCUGAAGGAAUACCGGUGGCGAAGGCGGCCCCCUGGACAGAUACUGACACUCAGAUGCGAAAGCGUGGGGAGCAAACAGGAUUAGAUACCCUGGUAGUCCACGCCGUAAACGAUGUCUACUUGGAGGUUGUGGCCUUGAGCCGUGGCUUUCGGAGCUAACGCGUUAAGUAGACCGCCUGGGGAGUACGGUCGCAAGAUUAAAACUCAAAUGAAUUGACGGGGGCCCGCACAAGCGGUGGAGCAUGUGGUUUAAUUCGAUGCAACGCGAAGAACCUUACCUACUCUUGACAUCCAGAGAACUUUCCAGAGAUGGAUUGGUGCCUUCGGGAACUCUGAGACAGGUGCUGCAUGGCUGUCGUCAGCUCGUGUUGUGAAAUGUUGGGUUAAGUCCCGCAACGAGCGCAACCCUUAUCCUUGUUUGCCAGCGAGUAAUGUCGGGAACUCCAGGGAGACUGCCGGUGAUAAACCGGAGGAAGGUGGGGACGACGUCAAGUCAUCAUGGCCCUUACGAGUAGGGCUACACACGUGCUACAAUGGCGCAUACAGAGGGCAGCCAACUUGCGAAAGUGAGCGAAUCCCAAAAAGUGCGUCGUAGUCCGGAUUGGAGUCUGCAACUCGACUCCAUGAAGUCGGAAUCGCUAGUAAUC
rnacentral:rRNA from 1 species